UAUUUAUAUAUAUGUGUAAACAUGGCGGCAUUACGAGGAAGAUUCUUUACUGUUGUGAAUACGUUUUCAUUUUUCACCGAGAAAAAGUCAUUCAAUUUUAAGAAGUAUGUGUCAAUAGUGCGCACAACGAUAGGAAGAACUUUUUCAGUAAAAACAAUUAAGGAUAUCGAGGAAAGGAAAGUCAAUGUCAAUGGGUUUGAUAUUAAUUAUGUUAGAGUCGGGAUUGGUAAUCAUCCUGUUCUCCUAUUACCUGGUGCCCUAGGAACUGCUUGGACUGACUUCAAACCUCAACUGGAAAAUCUUGAUAAAAAUAAGUUGACUAUGGUAGCAUGGGAUCCACCUGGAUAUGGAAAAUCGAGACCACCGAACAGAACAUAUUCAGAUGAUUUUUUUCAACGUGAUGCCGAUUAUGCUUUUAAUUUAAUGAAAGUUCUAGGAUAUAAGAAAUUCUCUUUGAUUGGAUGGAGCGAUGGUGGUAUCACGUCUCUUAUACUUGCUGCCAAAAAUCCUGAUAGCAUUCGUAAAAUGAUCGUAUUUGGUGCGAAUGCUUACAUUAUUCCCGAAGAACUCCAAAUUUAUAAAAGCAUUAAAAACAUUGACACUUGGUCGGAUAAAAUGAAACAACCAUUGAUUGAAGUUUAUGGGGAAGAGUAUUUUAGAAAUACUUGGUCCGAUUGGGUAGAUAGUAUGGAAAGAAUAUAUGAAAAAAACAAGUAUGAUUUGUGUAAAAAUUUUUUAGAUAAAAUAAAGUGUCCUACUUUAAUCGUACAUGGAGCAAAAGAUGUAAUAGUAAAGCCAGAACAUCCAGUUUAUUUAAAAGAUCAUAUAAAAAAUUCUGAGGUAAUAAUAUUUGAAAAAGGAGCUCAUAAUUUACACUUAAGAUAUCACGAGGAAUUUAAUACAUUGGUCAUGAAGUUCUUGACAGAAGAUUGAAACAAUUUUUAAGUUUCUUAUUUUCUUAAUAAGGGUAAAUUAAGCUGGGGAGACACGAAGCUUUCAUCCUACGAAGAAAGUGUCGUUCAAACACAUUUAUCUCAUUUAGGAACGUAAACUCAUAACCGGAUCGUUGAACGUCAUCGAUAGAAGAAUAUCGGACAAUGUCACUUGCGAGUUUGUAGUUGAUGAGAGAGAAAGAAGAGUCCAACGAAUUCAACGAGCUAAUAACGAAGUUCCUCUCGGAGCCAGUCAUAGAUCGACUAGUAGCUAUUUUUGUCGAAUGAAUAACAGUAUUUUUAAUGGAUAUCAUCGUUCCUACUUUCGUUAUAUUUUCGUUCGAUAUAAAUUCGAUUGAAACAAUAGAGCCAAACGACGAAUUUCAAUUAGAAACUUUUUGGUCGCGCCGUUUUACGAUUGAUCGCGAGGCAAGCAGCCAAAACGUCCGCAAUGCGCUUCUUCACGGACAAAAAUCAAUGGUCCUUCCACAAGCGAACUGUAUAUGAUGUUAAUCCUGCGCCAUCUUUGAAUCAUGCGAUAUCAUUUUAUCGCACGAAUGUUAAUACAUUGUUGAUCGGUCACGAAUAUAUUCGUGUUCGUAUUACAUGUGCAGCAAUUUAUUUAAUUAUUAAAGUUUAAUAUUUGGUUUAUUGCAUUGAAAAAUAUUCACCUAAUCGUGAUAUUAUCUAUUCUUUUAUAGUAUUUUAAUUACAAUUGUUGUAUUAUAAAUUGUGUAAUUAUAAACUUUUUCAUAUGUAGUUUUUCAAUAGCUUUUUAAUACAAAAUUUUAUAAAACUAUUUAUAUAUUAUUUAUUGCAUUAGAUAAUGUUUAGUUAAUAUUGAUACCAUCUUUUUCUUUUUUUUUUUAUAAUUGGCAUUUUAAUUGCAAUUUUAUUAACUUUUUUAAUUUAAUUAAGCAUGAAAUAGCCGGUCAACAAUUUAUUAACAUGAUUAUUUACGAUAAUUCAACUUUAGUCGAAAUAUUUUGUAUGAAAAAUGAUUUCUUUUAUCUAAAGACUUUAGAAGUAUACUUUCCUGCUUUGUAGGAUGUGUUCAGAAUAGUAGAAAACAUUUUUAGAUAAAAUAUACGAGCAUGAAUUCGCAUUAUCGGAAACUCGAAAUGAGACGAACAUCGGGAUAUCAUCCGUUACUUUUGUAGAAAGUAGUUUCGUGCCACUUAUUAUACGGACACCUUUUGUGUGUAA